AUUGAACGCUGGCGGCAGGCUUAACACAUGCAAGUCGAGCGAGCGGCGGACGGGUGAGUAAUUUCUGGGAAACUGCCUGAUCGAGGGGGAUAACUACUGGAAACGUUAGCUACUACCGCAUACCAUCAGAUGUGCCCACAGGGGAUUAGCUAGUAGGUGGGGUAAUGGCUCACCUAGGCGACGAUCCCUAGCUGGUCUGAGAGGAUGACCAGCCACACUGGAACUGAGACACGGUCCAGGCUCCUACGGGAGGCAGCAGUGGGGAAUAUUGCACAAUGGGCGCAAGCCUGAUGGAGCCAUGCCGCGUGUGUGAAGAAGGCCUUCGGGUUGUAAAGCACUUUCAGCGAGGAGGCGGUACUCGCAGAAGAAGCACCGGCUAACUCCGUGCCAGCCGCCGCGGUAAUUC
rnacentral:rRNA from 1 species